rnacentral:rRNA from 1 species
CUCCGUAGGUGAANCUGCGGANGGAUCAUUACACAAUAUGAAGGCGGGCUGGAACCUCUCGGGGUUACAGCCUUGCUGAAUUAUUCACCCUUGUCUUUUGCGUACUUCUUGUUUCCUUGGUGGGUUCGCCCACCACUAGGACAAACAUAAACCUUUUGUAAUUGCAAUCAGCGUCAGUAACAAAUUAAUAAUUACAACUUUCAACAACGGAUCUCUUGGUUCUGGCAUCGAUGAAGAACGCAGCGAAAUGCGAUAAGUAGUGUGAAUUGCAGAAUUCAGUGAAUCAUCGAAUCUUUGAACGCACAUUGCGCCCUUUGGUAUUCCAAAGGGCAUGCCUGUUCGAGCGUCAUUUGUACCCUCAAGCUUUGCUUGGUGUUGGGCGUCUUGUCUCUAGCUUUGCUGGAGACUCGCCUUAAAGUAAUUGGCAGCCGGCCUACUGGUUUCGGAGCGCAGCACAAGUCGCACUCUCUAUCAGCAAAGGUCUAGCAUCCAUUAAGCCUUUUUUUCAACUUUUGACCUCGGAUCAGGUAGGGAUACCCGCUGAACUUAAGCAUAUCA